rnacentral:lncRNA from 1 species
CUAUAUACCCCUCAAAACUUUAAAAAUAUCUCAUUUAUCCCUACUUUUUUUUUUCUUUCCCAAUAUACCCCUCAUAUGUUCCUCUGCUAUUCCAAAACCCCCCUGCAAUUACCACCCGUUAAGUUAACUUGGGUUAAAGAUGAGUUAAAUAUCUAUUACAGUUAAAAAAAUUAAAAUGCUACUUUUGCCCUUAAAUUUAAGAGCGAAUAAGAAAGAUUGGUUUUGGUAGAAGGGUAUAUUUGAAAAGACCAAAAGGCAAAAUACCCCUUAUAUGUUCCUCCGUUAUUCCAAAAUUCCCCUGCAGUUACCAUCCGUUAAGUUAACUUGGGUUAAAUAUGAGUUAAAUAUCUAUCACAGUUAAAAAAAAUUAAAAUGCUAUCUUUGCCCUUAAAUUAAGGGCAAAUAAGAAAGGUUGGUGUGGUAGAAGGGUAUAUUUGAAAAGAUCAAAAGUUAAAAUACUUUAAUUUUGUGCUCCUAACUUAAGGGCAAAUAAAAAAAGUCAGUGAUGAUAGAAGGGUAUAUUUGAAAGGGUAAAAUAGUAAUUUCAUAGAGAUAACAAAGUUCAAUAACCGAUUUUAACUCUAGGGUAUAUUUAAAAUAGGUUGGAACGUAAAAAAGAUAUUUUCAAUAUUAGCCUUCUAAAAAGAAAAAAUCAUAAAGUCGGAAACUUUUCGGGGUUAUAUAAGUAAUUGCCCCAUUAUAAUCUUUGCC